rnacentral:rRNA from 1 species
AGCAGCCGCGGUAAUUCCAGCUCCAAUAGCGUAUAUUAAAGUUGUUGCAGUUAAAAAGCUCGUAGUUGAAUUUCGGGGUUAGUAAGUUGGUCGUGCCACUGGUAUGCACUGGCUUUACUGAUUCCUCCUUCUUGAAGAACUGUAAUGCUAUUAAUUUAGUGUUGCAGGGAAACAGGACUGUUACUUUGAAAAAAUUAGAGUGUUUAAAGCAGGCUAACGCUUGAAUACAUUAGCAUGGAAUAAUGAAAUAGGACGUUUGAUCCUAUUUUGUUGGUUUCUAGGAUUGACGUAAUGAUUAAUAGGGAUAGUUGGGGGCAUUAGUAUUCAAUUGUCAGAGGUGAAAUUCUUGGAUUUAUUGAAGACUAACUACUGCGAAAGCAUUUGCCAAGGAUGUUUUCAUUAAUCAAGAACGAAAGUUAGGGGAUCGAAGACGAUCAGAUACCGUCGUAG